UGGUAGUGGUAGUGGUAGUGGUAGUGGCAGUAGUAGUGGUAGUGGCAGUGGCAGUGGCAGUGGCAGUGGUAGUGGCAGUGGUAGUGGUAGUGGUAGUGAAAGUGGUAGCGAAAGUGAUGACAAAAGUAAGAGUGGGAGUAGCAACAGUAGCAACAAAAAAAAAAAAAAAAGUAAAAAAAAAAAAAUGCCUAAACCAUACAUUGAAAAUAAUAUUUAUGAUAAAUUGAAAUAUAAAAAAGAAGAUUAUUAUUAUUUUAACAAAAGAGUAAACAAGUAUAUAUAUUGGAUAUCAAUCAACGGAAUUGGAACAUGGCAAAGGUUAAAAAACACAACACCUCAUUAUAUUAACAUAGCUAAUAGUAUUAAUAAAAUGUUUAUAGGAAAAUUAAAUCAACUAGUAACAUCAUAUCCUAAUAUUGCCAUAAAAGAAAAACAUUACCUUAGAGCUACCAUUUCAAUAAUUUCUUCACAUACUCAUAUAUCACCUGAACAGUAUUAUAUUUUCAAAAAAGAUAAAAAUAAACAUAAAAAAAGUAAAAAAAAUAAACAAAACAAAAAUGUUAAUUCAGAUGAAGAAGAUGAGUCUGAUAGCAAUUCGUCCAAUAGUGGUUCUUCCAAUAGUGGUUCUUCCAAUAGUGGUUCGUCUAAUAGUGGAAAUAAAAAAAAAGGAAAUAUGUCUCCAUACGAUGAUGACAUAAUAAAAAAUAAAUCUUUUGAAACUAAUCCAACAUCUUUGUUAAAUAUUGAAAAAUGGGUAUACCAUAAACACCAGUUUUUACCUAACGGACAUAUACAAUACCCCAUACAAAAAUCGAAAAAACAAACAAAAAUUAAAAAUUUUAUUAAUAAAAAUCCAGUGAUACAUAUUUUAACUAAUAUAAAAACAUAUAAAAAAAAUUAUUAUAAUACAUGGAGAAUAAAACAUUUAAACAAAAGCAAUGGUUAUAGUAUUAAUAAUCUAUAUUAUGAUUUAAUUAUUAUAUAUAAUUUUUUUUUUUACGGUUCUUUUACAAUUUAUUACAAUAAUAAUCAAUUUUUUAAUUUUUAUAUAGGACAUGGUUUACGAUCGAAGCAUGCAUUCAUACAUUUAUAUCAGCCAGCAAAAGUUUAUUCAGAUGUGAGUGAAUUAUCUGAAGAAGAAGAAGAAGAAACAAAAAAAAAUUGGAAACAAGUUAUUUACCUUUAAACUUUUGAAAUUAGGUUAAGACUUAUUUAACACACACUAUAACGAAAUGGUUUCAAAAAUAAAUUAUGUAAUUGUUUAAAGCGGGUUGAUUGG
rnacentral:lncRNA from 1 species